GACGAACGCUGGCGGCGUGCUUAACACAUGCAAGUCGAACGGAAAGGCCCUGCUUUUGUGGGGUGCUCGAGUGGCGAACGGGUGAGUAACACGUGAGUAACCUGCCCUUGACUUUGGGAUAACUUCAGGAAACUGGGGCUCAUACCGGAUAGGAGCUCCUGCUGCAUGGUGGGGGUUGGAAAGUUUCGGCGGUUGGGGAUGGACUCGCGGCUUAUCAGCUUGUUGGUGGGGUAGUGGCUUACCAAGGCUUUGACGGGUAGCCGGCCUGAGAGGGUGAACGGCCACAUGGGGACUGAGAGACGGCCCAGAAGCCUACGGGAGGCAGUAGUGGGGAAUAUUGCACAAUGGGCGGAAGCCUGAUGCAGCAACGCCGCGUGCGGGAUGACGGCCUUCGGGUUGUAAACAGCUGUCGCAUGUGACGAAGCGUGAGUGACGGUAAUGGGUAAAGAAGCAACGGCUAACUACGUG
rnacentral:rRNA from 1 species